GAUCAUACUGGGAUCUAUGGUAAAAAUCAGUCAACGGUUGUAAGAGGUCAUAGCCAUUCAGUUGAUUUAAGCUCCCCAAAAACUCCACGAGGUCCUGUAGUGCCUGAAAGCUAUUGGGAAGAGAAGUGGAGAGUUUUACACAAGGAAGAAGAGCGCAAGCAAAAUAGUGCAGAAAAACAAGUUCCAAACCGAAGAAAAGGUUGGUCUGAGAAAGUGAGGUUGCGUCUUACUAGAACUGAGUCUGCUCCAACUCCAUCUUCAGUUGAUAAUGGAAAAAAAGCUUCUAAGUCAGUGAGGAGAAGUUUGUUGAAAGAUCUUGCUCAGCAGCUUGGUGCCGAUGAAGAUAUAGAAAAGCUUAUUGAUGAUGAAAAUAUAGAGCAGGAAGCUCCAGUUGACGUUGUCGGACAAGAUUGUAAUGAUGGGAAUUUUACUUGCACGUCUGAGGAGUCAUGCUCCACUGGAAGUGCUGCUAGUGAACAGAAUUCGUCUAUUUUCUCAGAUCCUCCAAGCCCUAUUAGUGAUAAAUUUUACUUGCACGUCUGAGCAGUCAUGCUCCACUGGAAGUGCCGCUAGUGAACAGAAUUCGUCUAUUUUCUCAGAUCCUCCAAGCCCUAUUAGUGAUGCAAAUGAUCACGAAAAUAGAUCUGAAAGAAGUAGUGUUGCAUCAAAUUUCUCAGCCGAUGAAAUUGAUGCUGAUGUAAAUAGUGGUGAGGCAUCUUGUACCAAUCUAGAAGUCUCACCUCUCCCUGUUUCUGUUCCGCCUCAGCAGACCUUGCUAAAAUCUGAAGAAAGUGUCGACUCUGGGGGAAAAGGUCCAGUAGGCUUCAAGGAGCGGAAACUUCUAUCUGGUAAAUUUCAGUGGUUAUGGAAAAUGAUGCUGAUGGAAAUAGUGGUGAGGCAUCUUGUACCAAUAUAGAAGUCUCACCUCUCCCUAUUUCUGUUCCCCCUCAGCAGACCUCGCUAAAAUCUGAAGAAAGUGCCGACUCUGGGGAAAAAGGUCCAGUAGGCUUUAAGGGGCGGAAACUUCUAUCUGGUAAAUUUCAGUGGUUAUGGGAAUUUGGACGAAAUGGUGGUGAGGAGACGUCUGAAAAAGGU
rnacentral:lncRNA from 1 species